CCCUUAGAUGUUCUGGGCCGCACGCGUGCUACACUGAGUAAAUCAAUGGGUAAGGGAACACGAAAGUGCAACCUAAUCUUCAAAUUUGCUCGUGAUGGGGAUCGACGGUUGCAAUUUUCCGUCGUGAACGAGGAAUACCUUGUAGGCGCGUGUCAUCAUCACGCGCCGAAUACGUCCCUGCCCUUUGUACACACCGCCCGUCGCUCCUACCGAUUGAGUGAUCCGGUGAGGCUCUGGGACCUGAGCGGAAAGAGCGUUUCGCUGUUUCUGCUCGGAAAACUCAGUCGAACCUUAUCAUUUAGAGGAAGGAGAAGUCGUAACA
rnacentral:rRNA from 1 species